GAAAUGCGAUAAGUAGUGUGAAUUGCAGAAUUCAGUGAAUCAUCGAAUCUUUGAACGCACAUUGCGCCCCUUGGUAUUCCAUGGGGCAUGCCUGUUUGAGUAUCAUGAAAUCUUCAAAGUAAAUCUUUUGUUAACUCAAUUGGUUUCUACUUUGGUAUUGGAGGUCUUUGCAGCUUCACACCUGCUCCUCUUUGUUCAUUAGCUGGAUCUCAGUGUUAUGCUUGGUUCCACUCGGCGUGAUAAGUUAUCUAUCGCUGAGGACACUGUAAAAGGUGGCCAAGGUAAAUGCAGAUGAACCGCUUCUAAUAGUCCAUUGACUUGGACAAUACUUUUAUGAUCUGAUCUCAAAUCAGGUAGGACUACCCGCUGAACUUAAGC
rnacentral:misc_RNA from 1 species